rnacentral:rRNA from 1 species
UAGGGAAUCUUCGGCAAUGGGGGGAACCCUGACCGAGCAACGCCGCGUGAGUGAAGAAGGUUUUCGGAUCGUAAAGCUCUGUUGUUAAGGAAGAACGAGUGUGAGAAUGGAAAGUUCAUGCUGUGACGGUACUUAACCAGAAAGGGACGGCUAACUACGUGCCAGCAGCCGCGGUAAUACGUAGGUCCCGAGCGUUGUCCGGAUUUAUUGGGCGUAAAGCGAGCGCAGGCGGUUAGAAAAGUCUGAAGUGAAAGGCAGUGGCUCAACCAUUGUAGGCUUUGGAAACUGUUUAACUUGAGUGCAGAAGGGGAGAGUGGAAUUCCAUGUGUAGCGGUGAAAUGCGUAGAUAUUAGGAGGAAUACCGGUGGCGAAGGCGACUUUCUGGCCAUAAUCUGACGCUGAGGUACGAAAGCGUGGGUAGCAAACAGG